rnacentral:rRNA from 1 species
UACGUAGGGUGCGAGCGUUGUCCGGAAUUAUUGGGCGUAAAGAGCUUGUAGGCAGUCUGUCGCGUCUGCUGUGAAAAUCCGGGGCUCAACCCCGGACUUGCAGUGGGUACGGGCAGACUAGAGUGUGGUAGGGGAGACUGGAAUUCCUGGUGUAGCGGUGAAAUGCGCAGAUAUCAGGAGGAACACCGGUGGCGAAGGCGGGUCUCUGGGCCGAUAUUGACGCUGAGGAGCGAAAGCGUGGGGAGCGAACAGG